CCUACGGGGGGCUGCAGUGAGGAAUAUUGGUCAAUGGGCUUACGCCUGAACCAGCCAAGUCGCGUGAGGGAAGACUGCCCUAUGGGUUGUAAACCUCUUUUGUCAGGGAGCAACGCCGGCUACGUGUAGCCGGACUGAGAGUACCUGAAGAAAAAGCAUCGGCUAACUCCGUGCCAGCAGCCGCGGUAAUACGGAGGAUGCGAGCGUUAUCCGGAUUUAUUGGGUUUAAGGGGUGCGUAGGCGGAAUGCCAAGUCAGCGGUAAAAUCGCGGGGCUCAACCUCGCUCCGCCGUUGAAACUGGCGGUCUUGAGUGGGCGAGAAGUAUGCGGAAUGCGUGGUGUAGCGGUGAAAUGCAUAGAUAUCGCGCAGAACUCCGAUUGCGAAGGCAGCAUACCGGCGCCCAACUGACGCUGAAGCACGAAAGCGUGGGUAUCGAACAGGAUUAGAUACCCUGGUAGUC
rnacentral:rRNA from 1 species